GAGGAGGUGGUGGUGGGAGAAUAAAACGCGUUUGACCGUGGAAAGCGCCGUCGGUCUCUCCUCUCGUCCACUUCAGCCCAACCCCCCUGUCUUCCCCCUCCGUAACUCCAGGGGGCAGAAGCAAAGCAAAAUCCCAUCCCAUAUCUUCUUCUGAAGCAGAGAAGAGGAAGGCAGGAGAAGAAAAAAGAAGAAGAAGGAGAUAAUCCAUUCCGGUUUUCAAUACAUUCUCCUCUUCCUUUCCAGCAAAUAUUUUAGCAUCAUCGUCUCUAGCAUAUCAUCGAACAUCUUGGUGUGGUUUGAUUGUAUGCCGCAUAGAUGAAUGAAUUUGAUGAUAUGGAUCGAAUUUUUUGAUAGUUGAGGUGGAGAGGACGAGGAGGAGGAGGAGGAGGAGGGGGAGGAGUUGGAAAGAUGAUGGGGGAUGGGGUGAAGCAGAUCCUGACGAAGCCGAUUCAGCUGGCGGACCAGGUGACGAAGUGGGCCGACGAGACGCACUUGUUCAAGCAGGAGUGCAUGGAGGUCAAGGCCAAGACGGAGCGGCUCGCGGCGCUCCUCCGGCAGGCCGCCCGCGCCGAGCUGUACGAGCGGCCCGCCCGUCGCAUCAUGGACGACACCGAGCAAGUCCUCGAGAAGGCGCUGUCGCUCGUGUCCAAGUGCCGGGCGCGCGGGUUGAUGAAGCGGGUGUUUACGAUUAUCCCGCCUGGGGCCUUCCGCAAGAUGUGCAUCCAGCUCGACAACUCCGUCGGCGACGUCUCCUGGCUCAUCCGCGUCUCCACGGCCGCGGCCGACGACGACUUCGGCCACCUCGGCCUCCCCCCCAUCGCCCAGAACGAGCCCAUCCUCUUCCUCAUCUGGGACCAGAUCGCCACCAUGAUCACCGGCUCCCUCGACGCCCGCGCCGACGCCGCCGCCUCCCUCGUCUCCCUCGCCCGCGACAACGACCGCUACGGCAAGCUCAUCAUCGAAGAAGACGGCGUGGGGCCUUUGCUCCGUCUGGUUAAGGAGGGCCGGGUGGAGGCCCAGGAGAACGCCGCGCUCGCCAUCGGCCUGCUCGCCCGCGACCCGGAGAGCGUCGAGCAGAUGGUGCUCGCCGGCGUCUGCUCGGUCUUCGCCAAGGUCCUCAAGGAAGGAGCCAUGAAAGUCCAGGCGAUGGUGGCGUGGGCCGUGGCGGAGCUCGCCGCCAACCACCCGAAGUGCCAGGACGUCUUCGCCCAGCACAAUGUCAUCCGCCUCCUCGUGAGCCACCUCGCCUUCGAGACCGUCCAGGAGCACUCCAAGUACGCCAUCCCCUCCAAGGGCAUGUCCAUCCACUCCGUCGUCAUGGCCAACCACGCAGCAGUGGAUCAUAACUCCAUGCCGGUAGAUGGCCCGGAGCAGAGCCAGAUGCAGCACCCCUGCGGGAACCAGAGCCAGAACAGCAAGAACCAGAUGCACAAGGUGAUACAGUCCACCAUGGCCACCAACUCGAGCAAGACCCAGUCCAACGCCACCGGGACGGCCGGGGGCCCGAAGCACCAGCAGAACGCCUCGCUGAACGGCACCAGCAUCAAGGGGAGGGAGUUCGAGGACCCGGCCACCAAGGCCUACAUGAAGGCAAUGGCAGCCAAGGCCCUGUGGCACCUCGCCAAGGGCAAUUCGGCUAUUUGCAAGAGUAUCACCGAGUCCAAGGCUCUCCUCUGCUUCGCCGUGCUUUUAGAGAAGGGCGCUGAUGAGGUCCGCUACAAUUCAGCCAUGGCUCUGAUGGAAAUCUGCAGGGUUGCCGAGCAGGAUCCCGACCUCAGGAGGUCUGCAUUCAAGCCCACCUCUCCGGCAGCUCGGGCUGUCGUCGACCAGCUCUUGAGAAUUGUCGAGAAGGCCGAGUAUGAUGACCUCCUCGUGCCGUGUAUCGUGGCGUUGGGCUGCUUGUCGAGGACGUUCCGGGCGACGGAGACCCGGAUCAUAGGGCCAUUGGUGCGGUUGCUCGAUGAGAGGGAAGGGAUGGACGUGAAAGAGGCGACGGUGGCCCUGACUAAAUUUGCAUGCACUGAGAAUUACCUCCAUGUCGAUCACUCGAAGGCCAUCAUCGAUGCUGGCGGCGCGAAGCACCUUGUCCAGCUCGUCUACUUUGGCGAGCAGGCUCAGAUUCCAGCAUUAAUCCUGCUGUGCUACAUUGCCACUCAUGUGCCCGAUAGCGAGGCGUUGGCCCAAGCCGAGGUCCUUACUGUGCUCGAGUGGUCAUACAAACAGGCAUACAUGGUGCAGGACCGGACGGUGGAGAAUUUGUUGCAUGAGGCCAAGACUAGGUUGGAGCUUUACCAGUCCAGAAGUUCCAGAGGUUACCAUUGAUUCAUUGCAGGACACUUCCAUUGGGGAAGAAGGGAAACGAAGAGGUAAGACCCAGUUCUGCUUUCCAAUCUAGAGGAUCCAGGACUGUAUACAAGUUCAAAUUAUUAAGUUUACUGAAGAUUGAUCCCUGAAUCUUAUAUGAUCAUCUUAGUGGUUGUUUGUUUUGGUUUGGUGUGGUUAUGCUUGGGGUUUUGGUAGGAGGAUGCUGCUGAUGCUUGUUUCUUUCUCAGGAGUGUUUUGUAGGCUGGAAAGAUUGAAAUUUCAAUUGUUUUUUCAUGGUGAAGAUAUAUAUAUAGAGUGUUGGUCAGUUCAGUUCAUUCUUCUGGUAUAGGGGGCAUUUUGCAGCUUGCACAUGAGAACCACAUGAUGAUAAAGGUAAGCAGCAUGCAAAUGGUUGUUGAAAUUUGCAGUGUUUUGGGGAUUAAAAUACUCCUCAAGGAAACCUUUUAAAUGGAUAUUGGACAGAGGAAGCUAAAGAGAGGUGUGCUACAGAAUGUUAAUUAAAGGUCGACAACAAUAGGAACAUUAUACAAUGUUGUGCUUAAUACUCAAUUGCUUAUAAUAAUUCCCGAGUUAGCUUUAGGUGGUCACUGGAUCAGCAGAUAAAACCGUUCCACUUCCAUGUAUCUGUUGCCCCUCCCUCUUGUUUCAGAAUUUUUUUCAGAAGUGAGUGUGAAGCAUUUCUCAGUA